UGGGGAAUUGUUCGCAAUGGGCGCAAGCCUGACGACGCAACGCCGCGUGGAGGAUGAAGACUUUCGGGUCGUAAACUCCUUUCGACCGAGAUGAAUGUCCCUCGACCCAACACGUCGAGGGAGUGACAGUAUCGAGGGAAGAAGCCCCGGCUAACUCUGUGCCAGCAGCCGCGGUAAUACAGGGGGGGCAAGCGUUGUUCGGAAUUACUGGGCGUAAAGGGUUCGUAGGUGGCCAACUAAGUCAGACGUGAAAUCCCUCAGCUUAACUGGGGAACUGCGUCUGAUACUGGUUGGCUUGAGUGCAGGAGAGGAACGCGGAAUUCCAGGUGUAGCGGUGAAAUGCGUAGAUAUCUGGAGGAACACCGGUGGCGAAGGCGGCGUUCUGGACUGCAACUGACACUGAGGAACGAAAGCCAGGGGAGCAAACGGG
rnacentral:rRNA from 1 species